AUUGCUUCUCAGCCUUUUGGCUAAGAUCAAGUGUAGUAUCUGUUCUUAUCAGUUUAAUAUCUGACAUGUCCCUUAUCUGGGGACCAUAUAUUAAAUUGAUUUUUGGAACAGGGAGAUGGAAUAGGGGAUUACCCCUUAUCUGGGGUUCAUAUAUUAAUAAAUUGAUAUAGAAAAGCAACAAGAA